UAAGAUCGGGAGAUAAGGAAGGUGAUGUUAGCAAAUUAACUGAUUGGUAUAAAACAAAAGAGGGAAAAAAAGUUGUCAGGAAACGGGGAACUUUUGAACUCAUUUAAACAAAGAAGUGGUAGAGGAGCGGGCGUGUCUGUCGCAAGUGCCUACUUCGCAGGAGCCAAGCCAGAGCGCUGCGACAGCUAGAUGCAGGGAGCAGAGCUGUCUGAGGAGCAGGAGUCGCUCCGUUCAGAUGGAGCACACAAUGGGACUCUGGUCUGCCACUUCCACCCCGUACUUAGUAGCCGCAGCUUGCUCCAGCCUGCUAAGGGACAAUGCAACCUCUUUGUGCACUGCCUUUGUGAUUACACUUUGAAGGGCCCUGGGCUUGUGGAGAAGCUGUGUUAUGCUGAAAAUAAUUGCAGUAGGACUUUCAGGCCAAACUUGGGGCUGGAAAACAACUGUAUAUGAACUGGGCAAACCAAGGAGGGGAGGGUCUGUGAAAGGAAAAAAAUAGGAGCAAAGAUGUUCUGUCUCCCCAGAAGGCAACAGCAGUAUUUCCCCUCUUCCCUUCCCACUCCCAACAAGGGUUUCUUCCUGCUUUGAAAAACUGUCCACACUAGGACUUUGCUCCACUUCAAGUCUAGGCAUUGUCCUGGGCACAGCUGAGGGCCCCUGUGGCUCCCCAUAAGGAC